AUUGACGGGGGCCCGCACAAGCGGUGGAGCAUGUGGUUUAAUUCGAAGCAACGCGAAGAACCUUACCAGGCCUUGACAUGCAUUUGUGGAAUUGAUCUCGCGCAACCCGGCUUCACGGCCGCUCAUAGCCUGCAAAAAGAAACGUGAUUUGACGUACCGCAACAUCGAUUCGCACGUAAAUGAAACGAUGGGAUCGUCACCGUCGUGUCUGCGUUUGGCUUGAUGACCCCGUAC
rnacentral:rRNA from 1 species